UACGGGGGGAGCAAGCGUUGUUCGGAUUUACUGGGCGUAAAGGGCGCGUAGGCGGUCAGCACAAGUCAGUUGUGAAAUCUCCGGGCUUAACUCGGAAAGGUCAACUGAUACUGUGCGACUAGAGUGCAGAAGGGGCAACUGGAAUUCUCGGUGUAGCGGUGAAAUGCGUAGAUAUCGGGAGGAACACCGGUGGCGAAGGCGGCGACCUGGGUCGAUACUGACGCUGAUGCGCGAAAGCGUGGGGAGCAAACAGG
rnacentral:rRNA from 1 species